CGGGGUGAGUAACGCGUGGGUAACCUGCCUCAUACAGGGGGAUAACAGUUAGAAAUGACUGCUAAUACCGCAUAAGCGCACAGAAUCGCAUGAUUGGGUGUGAAAAACUCCGGUGGUAUGAGAUGGACCCGCGUCUGAUUAGCUAGUUGGUGGGGUAAAGGCCUACCAAGGCGACGAUCAGUAGCCGACCUGAGAGGGUGAUCGGCCACAUUGGGACUGAGACACGGCCCAAACUCCUACGGGAGGCAGCAG
rnacentral:rRNA from 1 species